AGCGAACGCUGGCGGCAGGCUUAACACAUGCAAGUCGAACGCAUCCUUCGGGGUGAGUGGCAGACGGGUGAGUAACACGUGGGAACGUACCUCUUUGUUCGGAAUAACUCAUGGAAACGUGAGCUAAUACCGGAUACGCCCUUUUGGGGAAAGAUUUAUCGCAGAGAGAUCGGCCCGCGUCUGAUUAGCUAGUUGGUGAGGUAAUGGCUCACCAAGGCGACGAUCAGUAGCUGGUCUGAGAGGAUGAUCAGCCACACUGGGACUGAGACACGGCCCAGACUCCUACGGGAGGUAGCAGUGGGGAAUAUUGGACAAUGGGCGCAAGCCUGAUCCAGCCAUGCCGCGUGAGUGAUGAAGGCCUUAGGGUUGUAAAGCUCUUUUGUCCGGGAAGAUAAUGACUGUACCGGAAGAAUAAGCCCCGGCUAACUUCGUGCCAGCAGCCGCAGUAAUAC
rnacentral:rRNA from 1 species